rnacentral:rRNA from 1 species
AUGAACGCUGGCGGCGUGCUUAACACAUGCAAGUCGAACGAAGCAUUUGCGACAGAUUUUUUCGGAAUGAAGUUGCUUAUGACUGAGUGGCGGACGGGUGAGUAACGCGUGGGUAACCUGCCUUGUACUGGGGGAUAGCAGCUGGAAACGGCUGGUAAUACCGCAUAAGCGCACAAUGUUGCAUGACAUGGUGUGAAAAACUCCGGUGGUAUAAGAUGGACCCGCGUCUGAUUAGCUAGUUGGUGAGAUAACAGCCCACCAAGGCGACGAUCAGCAGCCGACCUGAGAGGGUGACCGGCCACAUUGGGACUGAGACACGGCCCAGACUCCUACGGGAGGCAGCAGUGGGGAAUAUUGCACAAUGGAGGAAACUCUGAUGCAGCGACGCCGCGUGAGUGAAGAAGUAAUUCGUGAUGUAAAGCUCUAUCAGCAGGGAAGAUAGUGACGGUACCUGACUAAGAAGCUCCGGCUAAAUACGUG